GUUAAUCACUUAAUCUAUACAGCUAAUCACCAAUCAUUUACCUGUUUGCCUUUCUCCUUUUUACCUCCCAACUCCCCUCAUGUUAAAUUUGUGAAAAUUACCAAAAUACCCUUCCCUUUAGUUGUGUAAGGGGUUUUUUCUUUUUGACUUAAUGACUUAAUGACUUAAUCUAUACAGCUAAUCACCAAUGAUUUACCUAUUUGCCUUUGUCCUUUUUACCUCCCAACUCCUCUCAUGUUAAAUUUGUGAAAAUUACCAAAAUACCCUUCCCUUUAGUGUUUCGUUUUGACUUAAUCGGUUAAUCACUUAAUCUGUACAGCUAAUCACCGAUCAUUUACAUAUUUACCUUUCUCCUUUUUACCUCCCAACUCCUCUCAUGUUAAAUUUGUGAAAAUUACCAAAAUACCCUUCCUUUUUAGUUGUGUAAGGGAUUGUUUCUUUUUUACUUUAUGGCUUAAUCACUUAAUCCAUACAGCUUAUCACCAAUCAUUUACCUAUUUUCCUUUCUCCUUUUUACCUCCCAACUCCUCUGAUGUGAAAAUUACCAAAAUACCCUUUUACAUGCGAUUAUUAUCUGUUUCUUUGUGUAAUUGUUUCAGGCCAUGCUUGUGCAUCCAGAUAAGAACAUGGGAAGUCCAAU
rnacentral:lncRNA from 1 species